rnacentral:rRNA from 1 species
AGUGAACGCUGGCGGUAGGCCUAACACAUGCAAGUCGAACGGCAGCACAGUAAGAGCUUGCUCUUACGGGUGGCGAGUGGCGGACGGGUGAGGAAUACAUCGGAAUCUACUUUUUCGUGGGGGAUAACGUAGGGAAACUUACGCUAAUACCGCAUACGACCUACGGGUGAAAGCAGGGGAUCUUCGGACCUUGCGCGAUUGAAUGAGCCGAUGUCGGAUUAGCUAGUUGGCGGGGUAAGGGCCCACCAAGGCGACGAUCCGUAGCUGGUCUGAGAGGAUGAUCAGCCACACUGGAACUGAGACACGGUCCAGACUCCUACGGGAGGCAGCAGUGGGGAAUAUUGGACAAUGGGCGCAAGCCUGAUCCAGCCAUACCGCGUGGGUGAAGAAGGCCUUCGGGUUGUAAAGCCCUUUUGUUGGGAAAGAAAAGCAGCAGGUUAAUACCCCGCUGUUCUGACGGGACCCAAAGAAUAAGCACCGGCUAACUUCGU